AUUGAACGCUGGCGGCAUGAUUUACACAUGCAAGUCGAACGGUAACAGGCCGCAAGGUGCUGACGAGUGGCGAACGGGUGAGUAAUGCAUCGGAACGUGCCCAGUCGUGGGGGAUAACUACUCGAAAGAGUAGCUAAUACCGCAUACGAUCUAUGGAUGAAAGCGGGGGACCGUAAGGCCUCGCGCGAUUGGAGCGGCCGAUGUCAGAUUAGGUAGUUGGUGGGGUAAAGGCUCACCAAGCCAACGAUCUGUAGCUGGUCUGAGAGGACGACCAGCCACACUGGGACUGAGACACGGCCCAGACUCCUACGGGAGGCAGCAGUGGGGAAUUUUGGACAAUGGGCGCAAGCCUGAUCCAGCAAUGCCGCGUGCAGGAAGAAGGCCUUCGGGUUGUAAACUGCUUCUGUACGGAACGAAACGGCUCUGGUUAAUACCCGGGGCUAAUGACGGUACCGUAAGAAUAAGCACCGGCUAACUACGUG
rnacentral:rRNA from 1 species